rnacentral:rRNA from 1 species
CGGGGUGCAGCAGGCGCGAAAACUUUACAAUGCUGGCAACAGCGAUAAGGGGACCUCGAGUGCCAGGAUACAAUCUUGGCUGUCGCGAUGCCUAAAAAGCAUUGCAUAGCAAGGGCCGGGCAAGACCGGUGCCAGCCGCCGCGGUAACACCGGCGGCUCGAGUGGUAACCGCUAUUAUUGGGUCUAAAGGGUCUGUAGCCGGCCGGAUAAGUCUUUUGGGAAAUCCAGCUGCUCAACAGUUGGGCUUUCAGAAGAUACUGUUCGGCUCGAGACCGGGAGAGGUGAGAGGUACUUCAGGGGUAGGGGUGAAAUCUUGUAAUCCUUGAAGGACCACCAGUGGCGAAGGCGUCUCACCAGAACGGAUCUGACGGCAAGGGACGAAAGCUAGGGGCACGAACCGGAUUAGAUACCCGGGUAGUCCUAGCCGUAAACGAUACUCGCUAGGUGUCAGCCACGGUGCGACCGUGGUUGGUGCCGUAGGGAAGCCGUGAAGCGAGCCACCUGGGAAGUACGGCCGCAAGGCUGAAACUUAAAGGAAUUGGCGGGGGAGC